rnacentral:rRNA from 1 species
AAGUGGAGCAAUCCAUGAGUACAGUGGCGCACGGGUGAGUAACACGUGACUAACCUACCCUGGAGUGGGGGAUAACUGAGGGAAACCUUAGCUAAUACCGCAUAAUACCUACGGGUCAAAGGAGCAAUUCGCUUCAGGAGGGGGUCGCGGCCGAUUAGUUAGUUGGCGGGGUAAUGGCCCACCAAGACAGUGAUCGGUAUCCGGCCUGAGAGGGCGCACGGACACACUGGAACUGAAACACGGUCCAGACUCCUACGGGAGGCAGCAGUGGGGAAUUUUGCGCAAUGGGGGAAACCCUGACGCAGCAACGCCGCGUGGAGGAUGAAGUCCUUCGGG